UGUGCCAUUGCAGUUUUUAAAAAACCCUGCAUGAAACUUGCACGGGAUGAGUUUAAGGCAGCAGCAGUCCAGUUCCAAUUGAAUAGAAAAUCUGGCACAGACAAAGAAGAGGAAAUUUCCGUUCUCGGACACCACACUCCUAAUGGUAACAAAACCAAGCUUGAUAAAAAUAUUUUAGCUGUAUGAUGUAGACCUUACUCUAGUGGCUUAGAUAGGAUAUGCUUCCCCUCUCUGGCAGGAAGGGGCAGCAGCAACAGUUGGUGAAGAAAUGGAACAAGUGAACUCGACAAUGUCACGUCAUGGGGGAACGAGCAAACAUAUGACGAGUGCAGGUCGUAGAGACCAUCUAACAACUGCCAUGCAAUUUUGGAACAAGACAAAAGAUAAAAGAAUGGCCAAAAUGCUUGUUGGUCGCCUUCGUCGGGUAA